rnacentral:rRNA from 1 species
UACGAAGGGGGCUAGCGUUGUUCGGAAUUACUGGGCGUAAAGCGUGCGCAGGCGGUUUUGUAAGCCGGAUGUGAAAUCCCCGGGCUUAACCUGGGAAUGGCAUUCGGGACUGCAAGGCUGGAGUGCGGCAGAGGAGACUGGAAUUCCUGGUGUAGCAGUGAAAUGCGUAGAUAUCAGGAGGAACACCGAUGGCGAAGGCAGGUCCCUGGGCUGACACUGACGCUCAUGCACGAAAGCGUGGGGAGCAAACAGG